rnacentral:rRNA from 1 species
AAUGAACGCUGGCGGCGUGCCUAACACAUGCAAGUCGCGCGCGAAAAGGGGCAACCCUGAGUAGAGCGGCGAACGGGUGAGUAACACGUGGGUAAUCUGCCUAGGAGCGGGGGAUAACCUGGGGAAACUCGGGCUAAUACCGCAUACGAUCACGGGGCUUCGGCUCUGUGCUGAAAGGUGGCCUCUGCUUGCAAGCUACCACUCCUAGAGGAGCCCGCGCCUGAUUAGCUAGUUGGUGGGGUAACGGCCUACCAAGGCGACGAUCAGUAG